UACGUAGGGUGCAAGCGUUGUCCGGAAUUAUUGGGCGUAAAGAGCUCGUAGGCGGUUUGUCGCGUCUGCUGUGAAAACUCGGGGCUUAACUCCGGGCCUGCAGUGGGUACGGGCAGACUAGAGUGCGGUAGGGGAGACUGGAAUUCCUGGUGUAGCGGUGAAAUGCGCAGAUAUCAGGAGGAACACCGGUGGCGAAGGCGGGUCUCUGGGCAACAACUGACGCUGAGGAGCGAAAGCGUGGGGAGCGAACAGG
rnacentral:rRNA from 1 species